rnacentral:RNase_P_RNA from 1 species
UUGACUGAACGGCUGCGGGCAUACGCCUGAGGAAAGUCCGAGCUUCACAGGGCGGGAUAGCGGCUAACGGCCGCCGGGGGCGACCCUAGGGCAAGUGCAACAGAAAUAUACCGCCGCGGUUUGCCGCAAUAAUGCGGAAUGCGCCUUUGGCGCUGCCUUACCGCGGUAAGGGUGGAAAGGCGAGGUAAGAGCUCACCGAACGGGCGGGUAACCGUCCGCUCCUGUAAACCCUAUCCGAAGCAACACCGACCGGAGCUAUACGUCUGCCCGGCGUGCUCCAAAGGGUGGCUGGAGCGGCAGAGCGAUCUGCCGCCAAGACAGAUAGCCGUUUUAAACAGAACUCGGCUUAUAGGUUAACUUGU